GCAAUGGCACAGCAACUAAGUACACAGUGCUAAGGGCUGCACUCCACUGAACUCUAUUACAUAAGUGCUCAAUAAAUGAUAGCAUUUUGUUAAAGUUCCAAUUCAAAUAAUGUGUCCCAUUCCCUCAUAAACAUGUGUAUUCAUCAAGAUACAUGACAUACGUGCACACAAAAGUGACCAAUAAAGCCAUGCUUUUUCUGCAUAAAUUAAUCACUGGAACCACUCUCCAUGUGGCAAACCAUGACAAGUCACUGGAUCCAGGAGGGAACUCAGAUGACUACACCUUGGGAGAAGAACAUGGACCCUUCAAUAUGACAACUACAAGUACAAAUUUUCCAAGUCACCAAGAAUGGCAUCCAACUAAAGAAACAGAUGAGAGCAACCAGAGGAGUGUGUUGCUGGAGCCGCGUGUUGAAUUCCUUUUCUGCACAUUCCAUAACCGCGUUCUGGCAGGAUGGUCCUGUUUACAAGGGACUAUGCUUAGCCAGCUUAACUGCAGGUUCUGACAACAACCAACCCUUCAGAAUCUUGGCAUUCAUUGCUUCAUCAGGGACCCCCAAAUCACUACUACACAUCGCAUACUCAUUUAUACUCAGCACAUGCUUUCAUGCUAUUGCUGAAGUUAUAUGCACUUCUCACCUUUUCUCUCUUCUCCUUUAUCCAAAGUAGCCAGACUGGGUUAGCAUUCUGGGGCCACCCCUAUUCUUUUAUGUGCAAAUAGGACACAAAUUCCAGAAAAGGUGGUGAUUUUCCUUCCUAGAAUCCUCACGUAUCAUGUUACUAUGUGCUCAAAUAUGGCUUUGAGAAAGGAUUUAGUGGCAAAGGAAUAGCUUCAUUCCAUAGUCUGAAAGUAAUAUGUCUACUUCUGUGGUCCCCCAACUGUAUACCAUGUCACCCCAGGGCACCAUAUACAUUUACAGAAGUGCUGGAAGAGAACUGAAAUUCUCCAAAGGAAAUGGGAAAUACUGAACAUCUGCUGAACACUUCAGUAACUCAGGGUUAUUCAGUAUCAGGCUUAUUCAUGAGAUCAGGCAGCAUUCCUUUCAAUGAUGGCAUAUCUUUGCAAAGUCAUGUUUUCUGCAGUAACUGUGAUAAAAAGCAAGUACCAAAAGGAAAUUUGUGGAACAGGAAAUGAAGGUGGCAAUGUCCAAUCUGAUUCCAAAGUCUGAGUAGUUGUGCUGUACCCAUCAGGCACACGCAUCCCAUUAGUAACUGCGUGAUUUAAGAAUGCAAU
ensembl:lncRNA